ACAUACCUAUGUGUGAUAUAUGUGCAUAUGUCCAUACACUGCUUAGAGUAGCAUGCUGUACCUGAUAUAGGAAGAGGAUUUGCUUUUAAUUCCAGAGGAGUGCCACCAUGUUGCUGCAGUAGAGUUCUCCUUGAAUGGGAAAUAAAAGUUGUCGGCGAGCUCAAGGGAGUCGCAUUUACAUGCUGAGGCAGCCCCACUGUAAAUUAUAAAGGCGGACCUGUUCCAACCUUGCACUGGGUUCAGCUGGUAAUGUACAACACUGUGUGGGACACUAAGUAGCUUAAUCCUCACCCCCCCACUAACUUCUUCUCCCAAUUUAUUUUGAUAGUCUCUGAAAGUGUCCUCUCCUAACCUUUUCCCUGCAAGGGGCAAAUAUCUUUGAAAUUCACUCAAACUGUACCACAUUAAUCCACCAAAGCUAAAGUAGUCUUUUGCAGUCACUGGAUAUUUCCCAGCUUCUAAUUGAACCUCUCUGUUUGACAAGAAUUUAAAAAAAAAGUGAGCAACAAUAAUGCUGUCAGGUUGAUUUUCUUUUCAUUUUGUAUGGUGUUUCAUUAAAGGUGUUCAUGUUGCAUAUAAAGCAGAGUUUGAAUUGGAUUGUAUGGCCAUUACACCAGAAGUACUAAGAAAAAUACUGUUAGUAAAAAAAACUUACAUCAGUGAAAGAAAAGCACAGAAAAGCCUUUAAUUAAGACUGGGAAGCAGCAGAAAGAACAGCAGUCUAGUUGUCUGACAUUAAGCCUUGACUUUUAAAAUUGGUUCUCAUACAUCAGGGUUUUUUUUUAAGUCAUAACGUAUCAAGGAUGGCUCUCAAGUAUCUUUGCCAUGUUGUCACCUUGAAGACAAAGACUCCUAAUAAGUUCCUGAGGAUUUGCUCCAUCACCUUGACUCCGUUGUCAUGUUGAGGUACAAGAUGUUCACUUUGUUUUGAUGCUGGCAUUUGAGCCAGAACUGAAAAAACAAAGCGAAGAGUAUAUCUGAGGUAAAGAGUUAUAAACAUAAGUAUAUUAUAAACGAGUGAUGGUCUAAGGUCAAGUGCAGUCUUUUGGAAACUUUACCACCUGUGGCAGAUAAGACCUCAUACUGUCAAAAGUAAUGAGGAUGCUCUCUAUAAAUAUGUUCCUAUAUGUGUUUGGGACUUGUAGCCCCAGUAACACUUUCAAUCAACUGAUUAAAUGACAUCUUUGUAGUCUGUUUUUCUACUCCAUCAAAGUCUUUUGAAGGUAAUGCAAAUAAGUUUGCCAACAAGCAGAGAGGUCUGCUGACUUCUGUAAGGCAGUAAGACAUAUGGCGGUCACAGAAACUGUAAAACUGAUAUUAACAAGCCAGUCACAGAGUAAGUAGACCACUGUCACGACCACAUGAUCUCACCUCAUCCCAACUCACAUUCAGAUGGAAACAGGCAGCUGUACUGGUACUGAAACUGAAUUUGACAUCGGUCCUUUGGAAACGUUUUGACUUUAAGCCAAAUAAGAAAUAAAAACCAUCUAAUUUCGAUGAGGCGAUUUGUAAAAUCUACUCCAUAAAGAUCCCCGUAAAACAAAAAAAACCCCAUCAUAUCUGUGGUGCCACCUAGCAAGUUAUCAUUGAACUAUCAAGGCAAAGCUGCUGCCUUUUCCAGCACAGAGCGAUUGAGCAGCUCAUGUGGGUGUCAGGCGACAGCUUGGAGUCAGUGAAGCUUUUGUCUAAGUUGCCAAAUACGACACUGAUAGUGCUGAAAGUGACAGACGUUAUCAUCCGGAUACACUGUUACCUCAUAUCUGGAUGAGGAGAUGGUGCCAAGCCAUGCAGGUUGCCUGAGAAAACCUAUUUGAAAAUAAAUGAAAGUUAAUGCUGUCAUGAACAUUAACAUUUGGACCUACUGAAGGUCUGUUGGUCUGCCCGCUCCUGCUGCAGCAAUCAGGCCCCAUAAUCUAAUUCCAGUAAGUCUCGAUUCAAACACAUGAUAUUCAUUAAGAUGUAUAGAUUGUGUUGAAUCUGCAAAGGCUAUAUGUUUGAAUCCCUGCUCUUGUCAGAAUGUAAUGUCUUUGUAAUGUUUUUGUAAAUCUUGCACAUAAACUACAGUCUUUCAUUUUUGUGCAUUUGUCCGAGAUUCAAGUAGUUUAUAUCUACUUUCUAAGAUUACGACGACACACAUUUACCUCAUAAUUUGAAACUUUAUAUACAGUGUUUAGCAUAAAUGAGUACGCCCUUUCAGAGUUGUCAGAAAACCUUUAGUUUCCUUUCAAAAUCAACAUUUUCUAUGUCAGACUAUACAACAAAAUACUCCCCCAAAUGUAGGCCAUUGAUUGCACACAAGAUUUUUUAAUUUGCAUAAAGAAAGUAUUUAGUUUUAUUUUUUCAAUUUAAAACCAGGAUGCAAAAAUGAGUACACCACAAUCAAAGUUCUGGGAGCAAAGCUAAAUUUUAGUUACUAUAUCACCCUUAUUUUCAUCUUAUGGUAAAAAUGUUAUGUUAUGUUGGAAAUUGUACUUUUGCUCAUCUAGAUAUUGAGUAAUACAUUACUUUUAAUGGGGGGUGUACUGACUUAUGCUGGGCACUGUACAUCUAGUACGGACACCAAACUUUGUAACUUUGCAGUUUUUGUUGUAAAUGUGGAAAUGCACCAUACCCACCCCCCACCCCCCACCUCUUAAAAUCAAAAUAAUACUUAUAGGGAAGAAAUAAAUUUGUUAAACCAUUUCCCAAGAGUUCAACAAAACUAUGUUGAUGAUAAACUUCAAAUUCUUUUCGUAUAAACAGGCCAUUGUUCCAUUCAACUGCAUCCCUGUUGAAAGCAUCCCAUUGCUGUACAGAUCCCCGGUAAAGUGGCUGGACUUAGGUAGGCAACAGGGAGCCAGCUGUAGUUAGUUUUGAUUGGAUUUCAUGCAGCUCUGCUCAUUCUGUUGUGUUGAAUUUUCCCAGAAAAGGCUCCCUUCUUGUCUGUCACUUUGGUGUCCAGACAGGAUAAGAGCAAAAUCGCUUUUGAUUUUCACACAGUUUCUGUGACCAGACAGGCAGGCUAUCUGUGGCUCUGGGGCAGGAGAAAUAAGGUUUCAUGGAUAAAGACUAAAGAUGAUUAAAGAUGGUGUCAAUGGGACACUGUGACAAAAAUCCCAAACUGGUGUGAAAUACGUCUCAGGAUUCUUCCAGAGGCUUUAUACAUUUACCAGUGCACAAGGGCUAGCUCUUUUUUUUUAGUCUUGUAUUAAACCCACUCUGUUAUAUAACUCUUUAUUUCCAGGGUGGGCUGAAAGUGCAGACAUACCCAGUCAGACAUAUCAAUGACUUAUCAUGCAAUGGCAUGACAUGUUAAGAGUUUUUUUAGUACCUGUGGUCAAGAUGAAGGCCUGUUUUAUUGUUCAUGUGUCAAGUACAGAUCAAAUAGUGUUUGUAAGUAGAAACAAACAAAGAAAAAACUCUCUUCUAUAUCCAGAACAAACUUGAGUCAGUGGAUAAAUGAAGCUUUUCCAAACCGACUGGCAGCUUUCCCGAUCUCUUUUCAGUGGAGCGGUUUCAGGUUUUAACAUCUUGAUAACAAAGAGGGUUUUUUAUUUCUUUUUUUUAGUAGGAGUGUACAUCAAACACUCAGGAGGACCGUCUGGAGUUAUUGGUGUACAGUAUUUUCUUGCUGAGGGAAGGCAGCAGCACUUAACAGUAUUUCAGGAUAGAGAAAGCCAAAAGUUGGGUGUCUGCAAACUAAGAACGAAACAGUUAUAGCUUUAAGUUAUUGAGGUAGAUGCAUCUUGUUUGAAGGGGGAUAUUUUUUUUAAGGAUUUAUUGAAAAAGAGAAUCUCAAAAUGAUUGGGGAAAAGCCCAACCACCCAAUUAUCAAAAGGCUAUAUUUCAUUAAAUUUGGCAAAACAAGUGGAGUGGAGUUCUAAUUACAGUUGUGACCAAGCUGUUCUCUUUGCUACUUUAUUGCAGCACCCUUAUAAUUUUUUUUUUCAUUUGGUGCUUUUUUUCCUCAGUACUACUCUGAUUUUCUUAUUAUCAAGAAAAAAAAAACUCUUUCCACAGCUACUAGAUGAAAGGCAGAAAUCUGAUAUGGUUUUAAAACACCAGAGGAGCCAUGAGCACAACGUGUCAAUAUGGGAACGAUUUAGCCCGAGGCUGUUCUGGAAACACAAAUGCAGCCAAACGGUAGCAAAGCAUUCAAGUGUGAGUUAACAUGCUGCAACUUAGCCCACUGCACUCUGCCUCUGGUGACCACUUGCUUUCACAACCUCAGGUUUUACAUUUCUGUUAAAAUUAGUGUGGUGUUUUAUGUUGAGUGGGUUUGUAAAUCAGUAUCAGGCGCAGGAAUCCUCAGAGGAGCGAGCAACAGGAGCAGGUGUGAUUUGAGAGUGAGGGGGAAUAAGAAAGGACUACAGUGAUAGAGAGAUGACAGAAGGGUUACAGGAAGAGACAGAAAUAUAGCAAGCAGGGUUUUUUUUUAAGCAGUGGAUGUUCUCUUUUAAUUGGAUGUAAUUUACAUAAAUGGGACACUGUGUGAAUGAAGACACUAAAAAAGACACGCUGAAACAUUUGUAAGCUUAACUUUGAUUGUCAAACCAGCUGGUAUGCAAGUGUGAACACUGCAGUAGAGGUUCAGCUUUGUGUUUCUAACUUUAAUAAACUUCAAAAUGUGAAAAGUUCACGUUAAUAAUUAAUUAUAGGUACAUGACUGUGGUGGACUCUCUGGAUGAUACUAUAGGUGAGUGUAAGGGGUGGCAAGAGACUAUAUGUAGCCGCCAACGGUGAACUGUCAGCCCACAAGCACCAAGGCUCGAAAGAACAUUUCUUUUGCAAAUGCUGGGUAUGAAAUCUUCUUCUUUGUUGUCUCUUGGCAAAAAAAACACCAUUAUCAGGGGUUCCAGGUUUGUGUUUACUGCAUUGUAAAAACAGGCCUAUGCUCAGAGAGAAUAUGUUGUUGAGCUGAAAGCUUUGAGUAGCUGCAAACAAAGUAGAGAUAAGAGAAGUGUGGUUGAUGCAGCCAGUAGGCUUGAGUAUCGAGAACCAGUGCCAAGUUGGAACUGGUUCGAAGUUUUUAAAAUUUUAGGAUUCAAUAAGGCAGAUGAAUUUCAGUUCCACUUUUUCGGUUCCUUCCAGCAAUAUAAGCCUGUGAGGUGGUUCACCCCAGUGGAAACUUUGGGGUCCAUGGAGGUUAUCGCUCUGCCAGGACCUGCUCUGCUGACACAACAAGGUAUAAUUUAUGAAAUAGUGUGUCAACAAGUCGUGAGAGGAGAAUCACAGUGAAGUCCAAGCAAGCAGUCGAAAGUUUGAGACAAUCCAUAAAGUCAACAUGACCAGAAUGAUAACAACAACUGCUGUUCAUCCCAGUUUACUUUUGACAACACAAGUGUCCCAACAAUACAGGCAGGUUAAUACUUGUUCUUUUGUUGUUGAUUAGUUUUCACCUUCCAUACUUCAAGGAUUCUGAAUAAAAAACUGGAAUCAAUAACAAGAACUGGAAAAGGAAAUGAGGACAUUGAAAUUGAAAUGGCACCCAACCCCAGUGGUCAAUUGGGUUUGAGGUGAAGAAUUCUGUUUCCCAGUCUGUCUUCUUUGAGAGCUAAUUUCCCCCUUUUACCUUUUAUUUUUUUACCAAGCACAAAAAGUUCCACUCCUCUUCCCUCUAACAGGCUGUUAAACAUUUUUACACUGGUCUUCUGCAUACCAAACGAUGUUAAAUGAUCCACUAACUGCUCAUCUAAAUUGUUGUAACAAACCUUGAAAACAGGAGUUUUUUAGGUUGUGUGAUCACACCAGAAAAAGGGCACAUAUUCACACGCUUUAAGUCAACUUAAGGCAACCUCAACAACUAAACACAACACGAUGUGCCUGUCAUAUUGCACUUUGUGUUCAAUUCAAACACCGCAAGUGGGUGACAGACUUGACACUUCUGCUUGACCAGAUUCUGACUGUACAUCCAUCUAACACAUGCACAGUUAUCCCCUGAGUGCUGCUGGGGGUGUCCACAGAUCAUCCAAGUGGGUGCAGCAAGGUGUUCACUGAGCUGCAUAAUACAUUUCAUGAAUUAUAUAUCCAGCACGAGCUUCUGUUUUAUGCAUACAUACUACUUUUUCCUCUUAUUUGGUGAGUGUGUGUGUUACAUUGAAGUUUGGUUCUGGCUGAUUUGAUGGUUGAUGAAGUUAAAAACCAAAUCUACGGUCUAGUCUACUUUUUUUCUAUAAUUAUGAUGUGGGACAAAAGUGAGCCAGUUCAGGUCUUUGUAUGGAUUCAGUCCAUGUUUGGUGCUUUUGAAUAGAUCUGGAGUGACACCAUCUUUUGUGAUCGUAGUGAAAUGCGACAAUGUGUGUGUGUGUUUAGUCUGUCUGACUACAAAGACAAUGGGCCAGAUGUACAAACAAUAAGUUUUCAUAAAGGCAUGCAUACUCCAGUACCCACUCUAAAUCUGGAAUCUAUAAAAAAAAAAGGAAGAGAAUAAAUGAAAAAAGAAGAAUAUGUGGUGAGAAGUUGCAAACAUCACACAUACUUCAGACCAGAUGCACGCACAGUUUCACAGAGAUAUCUGUGGGUGAUAUAAAAUUGGAGGUGAGAGACAUGAUUUUUUUUUUUUUAUUAGCAGAACAAUGUUCAGCUUGUUUAGCCGUUAAUUAUGGUGUUACAUUUACAUUCUAUAUUAUUUAAAGUGCCAUGUAUUAAGAGGCACAUAUUUAUUACCAUCUUUUAUUUCACUGUUUUCCUAUUUUACCUCUACAUUUGAAAUUGAAUUAUGAUACAAUGUGAGAAAUCUGUGAAAGUAUGAGUCUUACAGAUUGAUAAUCGUUCAGAUGUUUGAUCUGUGUUUGAGUGUACUGUUUGGAAGUUGGUAAAAUGUACUUCUUUUUACCCAUAGUUCUCCUGCACAAGUAUCAAAAUGCAACCAUAAAAAUGUAAUAGAAAAAUAAACACAUAACUCCAGUCUUGAAUCUACAUACUUUAAAGCACCUGACUUAGAUGCUGCAGGCAUGUGUAAAAAGAUAUUUUCGUCAUCUUCGCCAGGUUACUCCCAUUGGACUUCAGUAUUGCACCGCAGGGCAAAAUCCCCCCGUUGCAUCAUCCAAAG